rnacentral:rRNA from 1 species
UACGAAGGGGGCUAGCGUUGUUCGGAAUCACUGGGCGUAAAGCGCACGUAGGCGGAUUGUUAAGUCAGGGGUGAAAUCCUGGAGCUCAACUCCAGAACUGCCUUUGAUACUGAAGAUCUUGAGUUCGGGAGAGGUGAGUGGAACUGCGAGUGUAGAGGUGAAAUUCGUAGAUAUUCGCAAGAACACCAGUGGCGAAGGCGGCUCACUGGCCCGAUACUGACGCUGA